AUUCCAUGUCUUUUCAGUAACGAUUUGUUAUAACGAAUUAUUGCGCGGGUGUAGUAUUGUAUUAGGGAAGCACCUAAUAACCGAUAUAGAAUUCGUAUAUCAUCAUAAUGGUUUUUGUAUAUAUUCACUAUAAGUCGCUCUCUAUACGAUAAACAAAUAACAAGCAUAGCCGAACAAAUCCUAUCAGAAAGACAUGUAAUGGCUCUUAGAUUAAAGAAAAUGAUUAGCUAGAUGAAGUAAAACGAGUUGAAAAGUGUCCGUACAUAGACUAAUGUUGCUAGAAUUCAGGACUUUCUGAUGUUUGUACCUUCAAAAUUGGACUUUGUUUGUGGUAACAUAUCACACAUCAAGUGAGUAAAAAAACA